rnacentral:rRNA from 1 species
CCAGCCCUAAACUUUGACAACUUACAUACUACCUUCCGCCAGGGAACUACAAGCUUCAGCUUAAAACCCAAAGGACUUGGCGGUGCCCCAAACCCAC